UACGGAGGGUGCAAGCGUUAUCCGGAUUCACUGGGUUUAAAGGGUGCGUAGGCGGAUAGGUAAGUCCGUGGUGAAAUCCUGCAGCUUAACUGCAGAACUGCCGUGGAUACUAUCUAUCUUGAAUAUCGUGGAGGUUAGCGGAAUAUGUCAUGUAGCGGUGAAAUGCUUAGAUAUGACAUAGAACACCCAUUGCGAAGGCAGCUAACUACGCGAUCAUUGACGCUGAUGCACGAAAAGCGUGGGGAUCAAACAGG
rnacentral:rRNA from 1 species